rnacentral:rRNA from 1 species
UACAGAGGUCCCAAGCGUUUGUUCGGAUUCACUGGGCGUAAAGGGUGCGUAGGUGGUGAGGUAAGUCGGAUGUGAAUCUCCGGGCUCAACCCCGGGAAAUGGCAUUGGAAACUACCUUGCUAGAGGAUUUGAGGGGGGGAUUGGGAAUACUUGGUGUAGCAGUGAAAUGCGUAGAUAUCAAGUGGAACACCAGUGGCGAAGGCGAAUCCCUGGACAAGACCUGACACUGAGGCACGAAAGCCAGGGGAGCAAACAGGG